AUCAGUGUGUGUGUUAGUGGAAGCGUCUGGAAAGGCGUGCGAUACAGGGUGACAGCCCCGUACACAAAAAUGCACAUAUUGUGAGCUCGAUGAGUAGGGCGGGACACGUGGUAUCCUGUCUGAAUAUGGGGGGACCAUCCUCCAAGGCUAAAUACUCCUGACUGACCGAUAGUGAACCAGUACCGUGAGGGAAAGGCGAAAAGAACCCCGGCGAGGGGAGUGAAAAAGAACCUGAAACCGUGUACGUACAAGCAGUGGGAGCCUCUUUAUGGGGUGACUGCGUACCUUUUGUAUAAUGGGUCAGCGACUUAUAUUCUGUAGCAAGGUUAACCGAAUAGGGGAGCCGAAGGGAAACCGAGUCUUAACUGGGCGUUAAGUUGCAGGGUAUAGACCCGAAACCCGGUGAUCUAGCCAUGGGCAGGUUGAAGGUUGGGUAACACUAACUGGAGGACCGAACCGACUAAUGUUGAAAAAUUAGCGGAUGACUUGUGGCUGGGGGUGAAAGGCCAAUCAAACCGGGAGAUAGCUGGUUCUCCCCGAAAGCUAUUUAGGUAGCGCCUCGUGAAUUCAUCUCCGGGGGUAGAGCACUGUUUCGGCAAGGGGGUCAUCCCGACUUACCAACCCGAUGCAAACUGCGAAUACCGGAGAAUGUUAUCACGGGAGACACACGGCGGGUGCUAACGUCCGUCGUGAAGAGGGAAACAACCCAGACCGCCAGCUAAGGUCCCAAAGUCAUGGUUAAGUGGGAAACGAUGUGGGAAGGCCCAGACAGCCAGGAUGUUGGCUUAGAAGCAGCCAUCAUUUAAAGAAAGCGUAAUAGCUCACUGGUCGAGUCGGCCUGCGCGGAAGAUGUAACGGGGCUAAACCAUGCACCGAAGCUGCGGCAGCGACACUAUGUGUUGUUGGGUAGGGGAGCGUUCUGUAAGCCUGUGAAGGUGGCCUGUGAGGGUUGCUGGAGGUAUCAGAAGUGCGAAUGCUGACAUAAGUAACGAUAAAGCGGGUGAAAAGCCCGCUCGCCGGAAGACCAAGGGUUCCUGUCCAACGUUAAUCGGGGCAGGGUGAGUCGACCCCUAAGGCGAGGCCGAAAGGCGUAGUCGAUGGGAAACAGGUUAAUAUUCCUGUACUUGGUGUUACUGCGAAGGGGGGACGGAGAAGGCUAUGUUGGCCGGGCGACGGUUGUCCCGGUUUAAGCGUGUAGGCUGGUUUUCCAGGCAAAUCCGGAAAACCAAGGCUGAGGCGUGAUGACGAGGCACUACGGUGCUGAAGCGACAAAUGCCCUGCUUCCAGGAAAAGCCUCUAAGCAUCAGGUAACAUCAAAUCGUACCCCAAACCGACACAGGUGGUCAGGUAGAGAAUACCAAGGCGCUUGAGAGAACUCGGGUGAAGGAACUAGGCAAAAUGGUGCCGUAACUUCGGGAGAAGGCACGCUGAUAUGUAGGUGAAGCGACUUGCUCGUGGAGCUGAAAUCAGUCGAAGAUACCAGCUGGCUGCAACUGUUUAUUAAAAACACAGCACUGUGCAAACACGAAAGUGGACGUAUACGGUGUGACGCCUGCCCGGUGCCGGAAGGUUAAUUGAUGGGGUUAGCGGUAACGCGAAGCUCUUGAUCGAAGCCCCGGUAAACGGCGGCCGUAACUAUAACGGUCCUAAGGUAGCGAAAUUCCUUGUCGGGU
rnacentral:rRNA from 1 species